AAUUCAUCUCCGGGGGUAGAGCACUGUUUCGGCUAGGGGGCCAUCCCGGCUUACCAACCCGAUGCAAACUGCGAAUACCGGAGAAUGUUAUCACGGGAGACACACGGCGGGUGCUAACGUCCGUCGUGAAGAGGGAAACAACCCAGACCGCCAGCUAAGGUCCCAAAGUCAUGGUUAAGUGGGAAACGAUGUGGGAAGGCCCAGACAGCCAGGAUGUUGGCUUAGAAGCAGCCAUCAUUUAAAGAAAGCGUAAUAGCUCACUGGUCGAGUCGGCCUGCGCGGAAGAUGUAACGGGGCUAAACCAUGCACCGAAGCUGCGGCAGCGACGCUUAUGCGUUGUUGGGUAGGGGAGCGUUCUGUAAGCCUGCGAAGGUGGCCUGUGAGGGUUGCUGGAGGUAUCAGAAGUGCGAAUGCUGACAUAAGUAACGAUAAAGCGGGUGAAAAGCCCGCUCGCCGGAAGACCAAGGGUUCCUGUCCAACGUUAAUCGGGGCAGGGUGAGUCGACCCCUAAGGCGAGGCCGAAAGGCGUAGUCGAUGGGAAACGGGUUAAUAUUCCCGUACUUGGUGUUACUGCGAAGGGGGGACGGAGAAGGCUAUGUUGGCCGGGCGACGGUU
rnacentral:rRNA from 1 species